rnacentral:tRNA from 1 species
UAUUAGCUCAGUUGGCUAGAGCGCACCCCUGAUAAGGGUGAGGUCGCUGGUUCAAAUCCAGCAUAG